CUUAGGCACCCUCUUUCACAAUGUUCUUAGCCUUAGGUGUGGGGGUGUUUUGUAGAUAUAGCCAGAGACCUGACUCUAUAACCAUGAAUAUCGAUUAGUGGUGGCUUUCUGUAGUGGUCUCUGUGUGUUGCAAAGAAAAAUGUCCUUGAUGGAAGAUGAAGACUAUGGGCAUUCGUGGGUAUAAAGGUUGUGGCAUAGUUGUGUGUGGGUCUUUUGGCCACAGGCAGAGACAUUUCAUGGAGACGUCCUCCGGGAAGAAAUGUAGUGGAUGAAACGUUUGCCUGUGUUCUUCAUUAUUGAGGUGGCCCUUUAAUUGUUUCCAAAAUCGAUUUUCAAUUAGUGGUGGCUCGACAUUUCAUAUUAGCUGUUAAAAUCGUGAACAAUGGUACAAAACAGAAUAAAGCCGGUG